AAACAUAGCCCUAGAAAAAUUCUAAGGUGCAACCUGCCCAAUGAUUUUAAAUUAAAAAUGAGUAAAAUACAUUUAAUAAAAUUUAAAGGACGCGGUAACCUUGACCGUGAUAAUGUAGCAUAAUCAUUCGCCAUUUAAUUGAUGGAUAGUAUGAAUGGUUAAACGAAUGUCCCACUGUCUCAAAGAGAAAUUCUAAAAAAUUGGAAUAAUAGUAAAGAUACUAUUUAAAAUUGUAAGACGAAAAGACCCUAUAGAGCUUGACUACAUUCUUUUAUACUUAAAAAGAAAGGUAGUUUAGUUGGGGCGACUUUCUUUUAAAAAAAACGAAGAAACAUAAAAAAAAUAAAAUUAAUAAAUUACUGUAUAAUAAAUGAAUUUAACAGUUAUGAUAAUAGAUUAUAAGACCCGUUAUAAUUGAGUAAUAAAUAUAACGAUUAAUAAAUAAAAGCUACCUUAGGGAUAACAGGAUAAUUUCAUUUUAGAGACCCAAUCAAAAAUGAAGUUUGUCACCUCUAUGUUGAAUUAAGAUAUCCUAACGAUGCAGAAGUUGUUAAAGGUAGGUC
rnacentral:rRNA from 1 species